rnacentral:sRNA from 1 species
CCCUAGCCCUGAUAGCAGCGACAUCCUGUUAUUGCGAGGCACAACUAUACUUAUAAAUUAGAUUGCUUCGUGCCUUGCUAUGACAGAUACAGCGAAUAGCAGGAAAUAGC